GAGUUUGCCAGCCAAAUUGAGCACUAAUAACUGAAUUCACCAACGCAGACUGGCUUGGGAAGUGGGAAGCGACCCAAAGGCCAAAGACGACUCGGCGCUAGCAUGAAGAAGCCUGAUCUAAGUAGCUUCAGACCUCCAUCUCUUGCAGCAGCAGGACCCAUUUUUCCUAGAGGAAAAAACAUCAUCAAAACUACUAUUUCAAGGCCAAAAACAUCAUCUAUAAAGAACAGUAUAGAUAAUAAUGAAAAGACAACAUCAGUAGAAGAAAUAAGAGUUUGCACUAACAGGACUUGCAGGAGACAAGGUUCAUUAGAUAUUCUUCAAAUUCUAUCUGGGAUUGCCCCUCCUUCUGUCUCCGUCAACUCCUGUGGCUGCCUCGGCCGCUGUGGUGCCGGUCCCAACGUCGUCGUUUUGCCUCAGGGAGCCUUUGUCGGCCACUGUUCGUCCCCUGCUAAAGCAGCCCGUCUCAUGGUUUCGUUGGUUUGCGGUUUUCAUAGGAAUGAUAAGGACUUUGAGAGGAGUAGUAUGGAGUGUCUGGAAGCAUUUGCUUUGAGGAAGAGAGCUGAAGAUGAGAUGGAAAAGGGGAAUCUUGAUGGAGCCCUGCUUUUUCUUUCACAGGCUAUAGAACUUAGGCCAUUUGGAGGUGUCCAUAUAACGUAUAAAACCAGGUCUACAGCAAGGUUAGCCAUGGGAAACAUCUGCGAAGCUCUUGAUGAUGCUAAAGAAGCUUUGACCCUUGCAGCAAAUUACCCUGAGAGAAUUAGGAAAGAAAAGAUUAAAAUUGCAAGCCUGGACUGAAUGUAUAGGAUGUGCUUGGCACAGUCAUCAAUGAACUACCAGAAGCAUGAUGCACAGAACAUGCUAGAGAUUCAGAAACAAGGUAUAAUAGCCUUUUGGUGGAGAUGUUCAAUGUUUGCUGAUGUUACAGGGUUAUAUCUGCCAAGGUGAUGCUUUAAUGGCCAUGGACCAAAUUGAUGCUGCAGAAAAGUCUUAUGCAAUGGCUUUGGAGUUAGAACCUUCUCUUUGCCGUUCCAAGUCUUUCAAGGCUCGGAUUGCAGCGCUUCAAGAGAAACUCUCUCCUGCAAAUUCAGCUUAAGGCAUUAUUUCGGCUGCAUGUGUACAUAUGUUAAAUUAACAUUAUGGAGGUAAGCACAUCAUCUGUUACUCAUCAGGUCAAGCAAAAUAAACAAGAAUAUUGAGCAUAUUGUCAAGCGGAGAAAUUGAUGGUGGGUCUGUUGAUAUUCUUGUCUGGUAAAGGUGUUAGACCUUCAAUCUUUCUGUGCAUUCAGGAUAUUGUUUGAAUAGAAGCUUUGUUAAAGCUAAAAAACAAAGGAUUUUGGUUCAUCAAUUCUUAGUUGGCUUCUUAAUGUUCUGCGAUAUUAGAACAACUACUCCAAAGUGAAAUAGAUUCUGUCUUGUAAAUUGUGUGAUGCUUUACUCUCCAAUAAUCCUGUUCUGCUCUGUGUAGCGUACACCUUAAAUCAAUGGGAUUAUUCUUUGCUUGCAUGCUCUUGCGGAAUGUUGAAAACAAUACGGGUAAUAUUCAAUUUCUUUAAUUCUCAGCUUCGAACUGAGCUUCCAAAUUAUUUGUUGUGAUGAAAAUUUUUGUCUUGUUUUGCCUGUCAAAAGUGUGAUCAUGAAUUCAACAAUAAAUUUAGAUGCACAAUGCCAAUCUCGUGUUUGUCAUAUUCAUUUAUGUUCUUUCUGUUUGUCUAUGUUUAUGUGAUUUCAUAACUUGCAUGGGUUCUUCACAGGAUUGAUAUAUUUUUCUUCCACCUGGCCUUUUUCGGUAUACCAAUAUCUGUGCCCUCGAUUACCAGCCAGUUCUCUACCAGUGCGAAACAUCUGGAAUCAAUUGAAGUGACCACCUAGCGUUGUAAGAAUAAAAGAAGACCAUUUUUUCAACAUCCUCAACUUCAGUUUAGAUAGGAAAUGAUGAAAAUAAAAUAGUUAACAACUUAAGCUGUAUAAUUAGAGGUGGUUAAUAAAUCUAAAGUUGAACUGAUUUUGUUACCA